rnacentral:rRNA from 1 species
UACGUAGGGUGCGAGCGUUGUCCGGAAUUAUUGGGCGUAAAGGGCUCGUAGGCGGUUUGUCGCGUCGGGAGUGAAAACCUCGGGCUUAACUCGGGGCUUGCUUUCGAUACGGGCAGACUGGAGGUAUGCAGGGGAGAACGGAAUUCCUGGUGUAGCGGUGAAAUGCGCAGAUAUCAGGAGGAACACCGGUGGCGAAGGCGGUUCUCUGGGCAUGACCUGACGCUGAGGAGCGAAAGUGUGGGGAGCGAACAGGG